GUAGUCCACGCCGUAAACGGUGGGUGCUAGGUGUAGGCGGUAUUCCACGCCGUCUGUGCCGCAGCUAACGCAUUAAGCACCCCGCCUGGGGAGUACGGCCGCAAGGCUAAAACUCAAAGGAAUUGACGGGGGCCCGCACAAGCAGCGGAGCAUGUGGCUUAAUUCGACGCAACGCGAAGAACCUUACCAAGGCUUGACAUGCAGGGAAAUCUCGUAGAGAUACGGGGUCCGCAAGGGCCCUGCACAGGUGGUGCAUGGUUGUCGUCAGCUCGUGUCGUGAGAUGUUGGGUUAAGUCCCGCAACGAGCGCAACCCUCGUUCUAUGUUGCCAGCGGGUCAUGCCGGGGACUC
rnacentral:rRNA from 1 species